AGUGAACGCUGGCGGCGUGCCUAAUACAUGCAAGUCGAACGGAGUGGCGCACGGGUGCGUACUAUAUAGUUAAUCUUCCCCUUGCUGGAGGACAACAGUUAGAAAUGACUGCUAAUACUCCAUAGAAAGGGAUGAGACUAUAUCGUAUCAGCUAGUCGGUGGGGUAACGGCCUACCGAGGCUAUGACGCGUAACUGGUCUGAGAGGAUGAUCAGUCACAUUGGAACGGAGACACGGUCCAGACUCCUACGGGAGGCAACAGUAGGGAAUAUGGCGCAAUGGGGGAAACCCUGACGCAGCAACGCCGCGUGGAGGAUGACACUUUUAGGAGCGUAAACUCCUUUUGUUAGGGAAGCGGUACCUAACGAAUAAGCACCGGCUAACUCCGUGCCAGCAGCCGCGGUAAUUC
rnacentral:rRNA from 1 species